UGAAAUAGUGUCAAGACAUCACACCCAUGUUAUAACUGUGGUAUUUAUUUAUUUUGCUUUUAUAUGUUUAACUUUGUAUUCUUAGAACCAGCCUUAUUAUCAAUACAUCUUUGAGCUGCCGUGAGUAACAAUCUCUCCUGUAUGUAUCAAUACUCAUACUGAACAAUGAUUUCUGGGUUGCAGAAAAUUAUUUACUUUUGUAUUUGCCAAUUCAACAACACGUACCAUGUGUGCGCCUGGUUCCCAGAGUCCAAAAGAUGGUGUUGGAUCUCCUGGCAACCCGUAUGGAUACUGAGAACCAAACCGUGAUCCACUGCAAGAGAAGCAACUGUUGGUAACUGCUGGGCCAUAUUCUUAUAUUACCUAUGAUUACAACUAUCCCUAGUAUGUUUAGAUGUGUUCCCCAGAAUUCAUAUGUUGACAUCUUAAUCUCUAAAGUCUUAUGUGUUUGUUACUGAGGCCUUUUAGAUUAGGCAUUGCAGAUUAGACAAGGCAUGGGUGAGAUCCCUGUGAUCAAAUGGGUGUGGGAACAGAAGACUAGAGCCAGCAAGCUUGCAGAGCCUCACCAAGUGAUACCCUAAGUCACCUUUAGACUCUUCAGCAUCUCCAUCUGAAAAGAUGCACCAUAUAAGGCUAUUUUAACUUCCCAGCCUUCAAAAAAC
rnacentral:lncRNA from 1 species